AAUGUCGUAACAAGGUUUCCGUAGGUGAACCUGCGGAAGGAUCAUUAUUGAAUAAAUCCUGAUGUGGUUGUAGCUGGCCCUCUCUCUCGGGGAUAUGUGCACACCCGUCAUCUUUAUCUUUCCACCGUGCACUUUUUGGUAGACCUGGGAUGUUAACACUUUUCCGAGCAACUCGGUCGGGAGGAAUGCUGUCAAGCUUUCCCUUGCAGUCCAGGCCUAUGUUUUCCUAUACCCCAAAAAAUUUCGUAACGAAUGUAUCCAUUGGGGCCCCUUGGUGCCUAUAAAGCUAUAUACAA
rnacentral:misc_RNA from 1 species